rnacentral:lncRNA from 1 species
CUUGCCUGCCACGUCUUCCUCAGCAGGUUCUCAGAUGCCAUGUAAGUCUUUUAAAGCCUCACAACACAGUCAAAGAAGAAUGAAUCUGUCCUGAGGCUAUCAGAAAGUAACUCUGCUGAUGCAAUAAUUUAUGAAAUUCCAAGUUCAGCAUCCUCCAAUCUUUCCACACAAUGCAAGCAGAAAUAACGGCUGCUGAAUUAACCUGGAAGUUGUAUGACUUGUCGUAAUCCGAAUUUUAGCCUCUCAGGAUGGAAAAAUCGAAAACCAAACUCCGGGUUGCAGACGCGGACUCAAGUUUCAGGAUUUUACCGUACCGGUUUGGGGAAGCACAGACUGCUUAAUACAAUCAAUAGAUUUAAAAAAAUAAAUAAAACAUUGUAGACUCAGUACGUUUCAUUCAUGAUUUUCCAUCAGUGAGAGAAGUAUUCAUGCAAAUUACAUUAAAAAAAAGGGUUCUGAGAUUGCAAUAAUGUCUAAUUGCUUUCCCCCCCCAGUGGAGGGAGGUGGCUGCGACCAAGGGGAGGUUGACCCCAGGGAUUUUCCUAGAGAUGUUAUAAGGGCUGGAUGGUAGUCUGAAUACCAGAUAAGGAUUGUGUCAAUUUGGGUCAGUUUUUUUAACAACAUAUAGUAAAACAAAAAAACCACUUCAUCACUUUUUCUUUCUGUGUAAAAAAUCCCUUAGGUUUUUUCUGCUGUUGGACUGCAGUGCCAGUAGGAAAUGGUGAUUUCUGGGCAAAUUAAUAACCUGGGUGUGCCCAUUUGGUGGAGCAGGAGGCGGGUGAGCUGGCACACACCCAGGGUGCAUCCUUGGGAGCCCCCCGCCCUCCCCGGGGCUUUGUUACAGGAGCACGUUCUGCACUUGCUCCGCAGUAGUCCCACGUGAGCUGACUGACCGGACAUCUGUGUCACUGCAGCCUUUAAGGUCAAAACAGGAUUUUUUUAUUUCUUCUUUUGCACGGGGAGGGAAAAUGGAUCGAUUUUGUCCGGCCUCCCCUUGUGUUGCAAGGCGCUGAAGCAGAACCGCUCUGCAAGCGGGUUUAGUGAACUGUAAGGUGGGCCACAGCUUUUGUUGGGCCCUGCGUCGGGCCUCGGUUCUGCUUUCCCAGCACCGACCUCCUACGCUCCCAGAGCAGCGCUGAGUGUGCAAGGAUUGCAGAAUUUCACUGGGUGAAACGUUUCUCCAUG